UAGUCCACGCCGUAAACGAUGUCUACUAGUUGUUGGGACCUUUAUGGACUUAGUGACGCAGCUAACGCAUUAAGUAGACCGCCUGGGGAGUACGGUCGCAAGAUUAAAACUCAAAUGAAUUGACGGGGGCCCGCACAAGCGGUGGAGCAUGUGGUUUAAUUCGAUGCAACGCGAAGAACCUUACCUAGCCUUGACAUCCGGAGAAUUUGGUAGAGAUACCUUAGUGCCUUCGGGAACUCUGUGACAGGUGCUGCAUGGCUGUCGUCAGCUCGUGUUGUGAAAUGUUGGGUUAAGUCCCGUAACGAGCGCAACCCUUAUCUUUAGUUGCCAGCACUUCGGGUGGGGACUCUAGAGAGACUGCCGGUGACAAACCGGGAGGAAGGCGGGGACGACGUCAAGUCAUCAUGGCCCUUACGGGCUAGGGGCUACACACGUGCUACAAU
rnacentral:rRNA from 1 species